UUUCAUAAACGCUGCGCCCUCGUGCUCGCUGGCCGUGCAAGAGCGCGGCGCACAGCUCGAAUGCCAUCGUAAGCUAAAGCGUUCGCAAAACAAAGCCUACUCUAACCCAACGAUUCAUAGUCAUCACGAAAUCGCUUCAAGGUCGGAGAACCCCUAUUGACUCGGGAGCGCCAAUGGCACCAAACGCUGUCACAGUCAUCCGAAAGUCUCCACUCUCGUUCCAGUUUGCGGGCUUCUGGAGAAAACCCGUUUCGCAUUUUCGUAGCCAAACACGGGUUCCCGCGCACUUAGUUGGAAUAGGCACCUUCAGGAGCUGUUCUUUAUGCCAAGCUUCUUCCCCCCUUUCAAAUAAUGGUAUUGGGGCCGUUUUUAAGAAUUUGGCUCGUUUUGAAAUGAGUUUUGGGUCGUCGCGGUUUGAUUGUUUUCGGGCUUCGGCGGUUUCAGAUGGUGGGUCAGGUGGGAAUGCUGGGUUUGGGGGUUCUGGUGGUGGGGGUGGUGGAGGAGACGAGGGGGGUGGUGGGAAUAAGUGGUCUUUGCUUUCCUGGUAUCUGAAUCUUCUGGAGAAGUAUCCUGUCUUGACGAAAGCUGUAACAUCUGCAUUUUUGACUUUGAUGGGUGAUUUGAUUUGCCAGCUUGUAAUUGAUAAAGUGGAAUCUAUAGACCUGAAAAGGACAUUCAUAUUCACUCUGUUGGGGCUUCUACUGGUGGGUCCCACAUUGCAUUUCUGGUAUCUGUAUCUGAGCAAAUUGGUUGUAUUACCUGGAGCAUCAGGUGCUUUCUUGCGCCUUCUACUUGAUCAGUUCAUUUUCUCUCCUAUAUUUAUCGGAGUUUUCUUAGCAACAUUGGUAACGUUAGAAGGAAGGCCUUCACAAGUUUUACCCAAGCUUCAACAGGAGUGGUUUUCUUCUGUUAUUGCCAAUUGGCAACUUUGGAUACCUUUUCAAUUUCUCAACUUCCGAUUUGUCCCACAGCAGUUCCAGGUUCUUGCUGCUAAUUUUAUUUCUUUGAUUUGGAAUGUGAUUCUCUCAUUUAAAGCUCAUAAGGAGAUUCUCCCAAAAUAGUUGCUUCUAGAUGAAGACAGACUCACAAAAGGUGUAAUUGUUAUUUCAGACUCUGUUGCCAUCCCUACUAGCCUGGUUCCUGAUUUGGGCACCACAAUCACAUCACUGUCAAUUUGAAUAAUCCUUCUAUUGCUGCUGAUUACAACGGUGAGGACUGUGCUUUGCGAUGGAUCAGCUUGCAGGGGAAAUGCUGCUGUAGGCUACCCUCAGUAAAGUUGGAGGAACACACUGAACUUGGGGUACAGAACAAGAGAUAGUUCAUCUCUUAACCUCGGAUCCUCCUCAUAUCUCAGGAUUCAAAGUCGAAAACUUCGAUAUGGAAAUCUUGUGCUUUAACAAUCGAGAUGUCUCUCAGAAGAUGAAACUUUUAUGUGUGAACAAUGCUCUCUUAUUAUUGGGACUCCCAAUCAGGUUUUACAUGCUCCUCAAUAAUUAAAUAACUUCCAAAUCUUAAUUUUACUGAAGCCUUCCUUAUUCGGAGUAUGUGUUUUGUUGUUUUGGGUAGCCUCAUUCGUGUUAGUAUUCUUCUUAUUCAUGGUAUAAAAGAAGAGCAAUUAUGGUGUUUUGUGAA